rnacentral:rRNA from 1 species
UACGGGGGGGCAAGCGUUGUUCGGAAUUACUGGGCGUAAAGGGCUCGUAGGCGGCCAACUAAGUCCGACGUGAAAUCCCAAAGCUUAACUUUGGAACUGCGUCGGAUACUGGAUGGCUUGAAUUCGGGAGAGGGAUGCAGAAUUCCAGGUGUAGCGGUGAAAUGCGUAGAUAUCUGGAGGAAUACCGGUGGCGAAGGCGGCAUCCUGGACCGACAUUGACGCUGAGGAGCGAAAGCUAGGGGAGCAAACGGG